rnacentral:rRNA from 1 species
UACGUAGGAGACGAGCGUUGUCCGGAGUUACUGGGCGUAAAGGGUGCGCAGGUGGCGGCGCGCGUGGGGGGUGAAAUCGCCCGGCUUAACUGGGCGGGGGCCUUCCAGACGGCGUGGCUUGAGCAGCGGAGGGGGACGUGGGAAUUCCGGGUGGAGCGGUGAAAUGCGUAGAGAUCCGGAGGAACACCGACGGCGCAAGGCAGCGUCCUGGGCCGCUUGCUGACACUGAGGCACGAAAGCCGUGGGGGAGCAAACAGGG